GAUGAACGCUGGCGGCGCGCCUAACACAUGCAAGUCGAACGAUUAAAGCACCUUCGGGUGUGUAUAAAGUGGCGAACGGCUGAGUAACACGUGGGCAACCUGCCCCUUUCAUUGGGAUAGCCACGGGAAACCGUGGAUAAUACCGAAUACUUCGAGACUUCCGCAUGGAAGACUCGAGAAAGCUCCGGCGGAGAGGGAUGGGCCCGCGGCCUGUUAGCUUGUUGGUGAGGUAACGGCCUACCAAGGCAAUGAUGGGUAGCUGGGUUGAGAGACCGACCAGCCAGAUUGGGACUGAGACACGGCCCAGACGCCUACGGGAGGCAGAAGUGGGGAAUCUUGCACAAUGGGCGAAAGCCUGAUGCAGCGACGCCGCGUGCGGGAUGAAGGCCUUCGGGUUGUAAACCGCUUUCAGCAGGGACGAGGCGAAAGUGACGGUACCUGCAGAAGAAGCCACGGCUAACUACGUG
rnacentral:rRNA from 1 species